GAAAAAGUAAACUCCAUAAAUUUAUUAUGAAACACUCUUGAGACCUGUUCACGCAGACAGUAAGAUGCAGUGUGUUCUUCAGACCUAGACAUCUUUUUUCCUCUGAUGUAGGCUUCUUAAAAAUACCAAACAAGAUUGAUGAAAAAUUUUAGAAACUUGCCAGCCAGCAUUUCUGGAGAAUCUAAAGAUAUUACACCCAAUUAUCAUUUAACGAUGAUAAAUUUUCCCUUGGCAUCAGGAGAAUAAAGUAGGGAACCUUUCUGUAGUGAAUCUGAUCAAGGUGGUAGGCUGCUGGCAAUUAAAUUCCUGGUGGCUUGCACUGUAAUUAACUUAAAAGUGGAGAGAGCCACACAGCCCACCGCUUGUUUGCAGUCAUCAUACUAAACUGUUCCUGUUGCUGGGACAGCCUGGCGUCCAGCUGGAGCAGCUCCCAGGCCGGCCGUGCCUGGACCCACCCAAGUGAGCGAUCCCCUAUCACCCGGCCGGCAGGAGGAGACGCUGUGUUUCCCCGCACAGUAACCUUACCACCACCUCAGUGGCUGAAUACUUUGGCUACACGGGA
rnacentral:lncRNA from 1 species